GCAUAGGAAGACGAAGACAGAUAGAUAGAUAGAUAUGUAUGAAAGCAGUAACGAUAAAGCAUAAUAUAAUGCGAGUAUCCAACUAUGCCUCAAUCCAACAAAUGAAUGCAUGAACUACAUAAUAAAGGCUAACUAUCCUGCUACUAUGCUCAACAAGAUUACUUGUGUCACACUGGUGAGGAUCCGCUCACUCACCCAAGACCAUCAAUCUAACCACGACGGAGAGGAUCCGCUUACUCGCCCGACUCACAAUCUAACCACGAUGGGGAGGAUCCGCUCACUCGCCCGACUCACGAGAUAAUCAACACGGGGAGGAUCUACUCACUCGCCCGACUCACGAUCUAAUCAACACGGGGAGGAUCUGCUCACUCGCCCGACUCACAACACAGGUACGACAACCCAAUCUCAACUCAUAGGUGAGGAUCAGCUCACUCACCCGACUCACUUGGGGGGGAUCAGCUCAUUCGCCCAAGACUGUCUGCGGGACCCUAACGGCUAUCCCUCGGGACCCAAACAGCUAUCCCUAUCAUGUGACAACUCCGGAGUGCACUGCUUGUGUGGAGCGACCACCCCAAGCUACGAACAAACAUAUGAGUAUAAUCAAAUCCCCGUCACUGAGGAUACCCUACCACUCUAGACAACAUCACUUGGGAACUAGUUCUUUCCUAAGUUCAACAUGCAACAAGUAUCUCCACUAUACUUUACUUAUCAUGCCGCUCGUCAAGUUUAACAUUAACUAGAUGCCACUCGUCAUAGUUUAACGUUCUCAAUACGCCACUUGCACAUAACUCACUAGGUUGUCAUUCAACUAG
rnacentral:lncRNA from 1 species